UCAGGUCUAGUGGUAUGAUACCUCUUUAGCAAAUGCGACCUAGCGUCGUUUACUAUCCUAGAGGUGGUCCGGGGUUCAAUUCCCCGCGAG